rnacentral:misc_RNA from 1 species
UGCUUGGGUCAUCCCAGCUUUCUGGCAAGUCCUCUCCUUUUCUCUUCUAUGUAUCAUUUGUGCUCUUUGGGCUCCCUCUCAAAACUCAAUGCGGUAUGCAUACUCUGAUGAUGUGGGCGAAGAGUUUGAAAGAGAUGACAGUUCUUUGACACUCAUAAAACCAUCUUCAAUGCCUUCGAAGGAUGUUCGAAGUGCAUCAGCAGCUAGACCAGUGCACACAAACAACGUCGCAUCCAACGGUGAUGUUGAAGAAGACAAGACAGAGUAAAUUAUAUCCCAAU